rnacentral:rRNA from 1 species
CGCCCUUCCCCGUCUCCGGCCACGCCUCCUCACCGCCGGCCGCCGCCGCCUCGCGGCCGUAUCCGCCCCACAUACGCCGUAGCCACGGCCGCGUCCGACGGCGGCGGCGCGGCCGACGACUACCACUCCACCAUCCGCUCCCUAAACUCGCACGGCCGCCGCCACGUCCCCCGCAAAUCCCUCGGCCAGAACUACAUGCUGAACGCGAGGGUGAACGAGGAGCUGGUGGCGGCGGCGGGGGUGGAGGAGGGGGACGUCGUGCUCGAGAUAGGCCCCGGGACGGGCUCUCUCACCGCCGCGCUGCUCGCCGCCGGCGCCACCAUCGUCGCCGUCGAGAAGGAUAAGCAUAUGGCUACCCUUGUGAGAGAUAGGUUUGGAUCCACAGAGCAAUUGAAGGUCAUUGAAGAAGAUAUUACAAAAUUUCACGUUCACUCCCAUUUUCUCCCUAUCCUGGAGGAGAAAUCUCAUGGCAAGAAAAAAUACGCCAAGGUUGUGUCAAACUUACCAUUCAAUGUCAGCACUGAAGUUGUCAAACAAAUUCUUCCAAUGGGAGAUGUUUUCUCUGUCAUGGUGCUCAUGCUUCAGGAUGAAGCGGCACUACGCCUUGCAAAUGCUUCAAUACAAACACCAGAGUACCGACCUAUCAAUGUGUUUGUGAAUUUCUACUCUGAACCUGAAUACAAGUUCAAAGUAGAGAGGGCCAACUUUUUCCCUCAACCGACGGUUGAUGGUGGCGUUAUAAGGUUUAAAAUAAAGGAUGCUGGGGAGUAUCCGCUUGUUAGUUCUAACAAAAGUUUCUUUUCAAUGGUGAACUCCGCGUUCAAUGGGAAGCGCAAGAUGCUUCGGAAAUCACUUCAACACCUAUAUUCUUCUGCUGACAUUGAGGCUGCUCUGACCAAUAUCGGUCUUCCGCCUACGGCUAGACCGUCUGAACUGGGGAUGGAUGAUUUCGUGAGGUUGCACAAUCACCUGGGAAAAGUAUGACCACCCCUGCGUUUCAAAAUGCGUAUGGAAUCAUCUUAUUGGUUUGCUCGCUGGACUAAGCAUGCCGCUGAAGUGAUUUGGUUCACAGCUAGAGCGCACUGCAGCUUGCAGGUAAACCAUGUACAGAAGAGAUGGCGGGUUGAUUGGCUCAAGAUAUUGUUCUUUUAUCUGAUACAACAGAUAAUUCUCCAAAUCAUUUCAGAUUAUGCUUGCUGACAGUGACCGCCUAGUAUUCUCCAGCAGUCCCACAGCCUUCACCGCAACAUAAUCGGUGGCACAGCUUCAGCCCACGGCGCUCUUGCAUGGAGAUGAUCAUAGUGA